CGCGUUACCAACAUUAUUUCCUAAUCCCACAAAAAGGACUUGUGAAGGUGAACAGCUUGAGGAAGGGCCGCCAAAAAAAGUCUCAAAGGAAAAGGACAUAAAAAUUCUAUCAGAUAUUUUAAUACAGCCUGCAAUUAUGAAACCAGCAACGUUGGCCCAGCAAAGUAUUGCCGAAAAAAAUUCUCCUUAUGACAGAACUAAGACGCCUGAAAAACACCCAUUAUUGGAUAUUUUUUCUGGCCCAAGCACUUCACAAUAUUCAGUGUGCGAGCCCCUCGGCAACCUCCUAUCUAUCGAAAUAGAUAAACCGUCCGAGAAUUCUCCACCAGGCCUUCUUUCUCCGUCAGCUUCUACUCAGACUUCUUCUCAGCUGAGUAGUAACACU